GACGUAGGGCGCGAGCGUUGUCCGGAUUUAUUGGGCGUAAAGAGCUCGUAGGCGGCUUGUCGCGUCGUCCGUGAAAACCCACAGCUCAACUGUGGGCUUGCGGUCGAUACGGGCAGGCUAGAGUUCGGUAGGGGAGACUGGAAUUCCUGGUGUAGCGGUGAAAUGCGCAGAUAUCAGGAGGAACACCGGUGGCGAAGGCGGGUCUCUGGGCCGAUACUGACGCUGAGGAGCGAAAGCGUGGGGAGCGAACGGG
rnacentral:rRNA from 1 species